rnacentral:sRNA from 1 species
CAGAAGCUGCACAGCGUGC